rnacentral:lncRNA from 1 species
CAAAAAUAAUCAUUCUUUACUUCUAGAGGUAGAAAAAUGUGCAAUGUUGCAUGUGGCACGCUAAACCUUCACGAAGCAAACACAGCAAGGAAAAACAGGAAUGCAAAAUGCAGUGGCCAGGGCAAGAAGCUCCAUAAUGCCUGUCCUGCCUAAGGCAGUGCUGACUUCCCACUUUUUUUUUUUUUUGCAAAGGAGCCAAGCAGAAAACGCAGGGGUGCUGCAGGUAUUGCUGGCUUGUCCUGGCCCAAAACACCCCCUGGCCCAGCAGAGGGGCUGCAGGCUCUUUAAGGGCUCCUGCCCAGCUCCACCUGGUGCAAGGGCUGGGGGGAGAUGCAGCAGGAAGCAGCAUCACAGCUGGGGGGUUUGGGGGGUGGAGGAAGGUGUCUUGUGGCAGGGAAAUCUGCUGAAAGUGGCCGUGGGUGGCGCUGGCAGAGGGCUGAACACCCCCAGAGGCAUGAGCUUAUGCACUUGGAAAACUUCUCCAGCAUUGGAAAUGAGCCAUCGUGGACAGUAGCAGGGGAUUCUUCUGGAAGCCCUCCAGGCAUGGGCACAGGGUCCCAGCUGGCAGAGCAGGUCUGGCUAUCUGCUGACACCUCAAAAUACACCUCAAAAUACAGAGGAAACUCUAUGCUGUCAUCUCCUGUAGACAGACCUCUGAGUUAUGCAGAUGUGUACCAAUGCAACAGACACAGGUUUCUGCUGAUACAGUGGUUGGUGAUGCAGCUGUUGAGCAGUGCUUGCAGUGGCCAGGAGGUGAUGAUAUAAGAGAUGGGCUAUUUUUAUAGCAGCUGACGGACCCUGGCUCUGUUCAGGUGUGGCUGCAGAAAUCCCUGUUCCUGAUUCAUGCACUGAUAAUAAUGGAGUCCUAGAACCAUUGUUUUUUUUUAACAAUGGAGCAACAAUUGUGCUAUUUUUUUUCUCCCACAAAUUUUGGCUUAAAGAAAGGAUGUAGAGAUGCAGUAAAUUUAUGAGCCAACUAACUAUCUUUGGGAAAUAACAUCUGUAUUCACUGCAAAAUUCUUCUGUCCUGGAAUAAAACAGCCUGGCUGCUGCCUUGGUUUCCA